rnacentral:misc_RNA from 1 species
GCACUUCCAUAUUAAUACCAAAUGAAAUUAAAAAAUAAUAAAAUUUGCACAUAAAUAAUAUUCUCUCCUCUUUAGUCUUUAUCAUAUUGGACCCUCUCUUCUACAAAAGCUAUGCUCUCUGUAUCAAUUGCCUAUAAAUCAAAGCCUGUGGGAUACAAAUCUACAACAUAAAACAAAAUCCACAACAAAAUAAUUACUAAGUAAAUCCUAAUUUAUAAUCACUGUUAGAAAAAUCUAUUUUUAUGAUUGUAAACGUCUUUAAAAUGAAAAGUGAAUACUCAUAUGCUUUUUCCUAUGAAUGAUUACAGACUUUACAGUAAGAAAUUAAAUCAAUUUGGGCAAUUCCCAAAUCUGUGUUUAGAGAGGUGAGAGACACAACCCACAUAUCAUGUUUUCCAAUAUUAUUAUGUCAUGCAACCAAUAGUAUUUAUUGUGGGAGCUUCAAACUAGAAAUUCAAAUGGAUCAAUAUGAAGACAUCAACCCAAAUUAAAACUUUUCAUGCCCUAGACUUGGUCAUAUUUGACCUUUCAUUUUUUUAGUCCCUCUAUAGAAUCAAAAAGCAAACUCAUUUAUGUAUUCACUAAGGAAAAAUAGAAAUUGGAGAAGAAAUAAA